CCUGCUCUUCCUUUUUCUCAGAAAGGGAAGUUGUGGUUCAGAGGGUCCCUUUUGGCAUCAGUCUGGGCUGCCCUGAAAGAUGGGGCAAGGGUCAAUGUAGGUAAAGUGUUUCCUACAAUUUCUCUAUGCAGCCAUCCCUGGCUGUUGUGCUCCACUGGGUUGCUGCAGCUUCUUAUACUCUGGAGCUUUCUCAGAACUAUUUCCCUUCCUGAGUAGUUGUUAAAAUGUUCCUAUGGGGGGAUGAGGGUUGGGACCUCCUGGUCUGACAUUACCCAUAAGAAACCACUCCUUCAAUUUCUUACAGGAGGUAUCAGUCAGAGGUAGAAAAAGAAAGCAAUGUAAAGGUACGUGGAUUGGAAAGGAAGGUACAAAACUGUCAUUAUUUGUACAUAUUAUGAUUGUCUAUAUAGAAAGCUCCCCAUCCAAAUUACAGAUGAAUUACAAGUAAACUAUUUUAAUUGCUAAGAGUUAGCAAAUUUGUUGGGCACUAAUCCAAUAUGUAAAAGUGAAUUUUAUGUCUCUGCAAUAGCCAUUAGAAGUUAGAAAAUGAAAUUUUAACAAUAAAGAUAGUUCUUAAAAUAGCAAUAAAAUAUAAAAUAUAUAGGGAAAAAUCUCACACAAGACAUGCAAGCCUUUUAUGUAGAAAUUCAUGAAACUUAAAUAAGUGGAGAAAGAGAAUAUGUUCUAAGAAAACUAAAAAUGGUAAUGAUUUAUAGAUUUUAAUGCUAUUCCAAAAAAAAAAAUUCCAACAGGACUUUUCAUGAACCUUCACAAUCUGAUCCACCCCCAAACAGUCACUACUGAACAUGUUCCACCAAUGUCAAGUCUGAUUAUAAAGGUGAAGGCAGUGUGCAGUGAAAUUCAGGGAUAUACAAAUAGGCCAAUGUAACAUAAUAGUGUGUCCAGAAACAGGUAUGUCCAAAUAUGACAAAGAUAAUUUUGCCUAACAAUGGGUGAAGAAUGGACUUUUCAACAAAUGCCCUCGAAGCAAUUGUAUAACCAUAUUGGGGGAAAAAUGAAAUUAUUGAAGUACUACUCAUACUUUAACAUACAGAAAGAUCAAUUUCAGUCGGAUUAAAUAAUAAAUGUGAAAGGAUAAAGCUAAAAGCAUGUUAGAAAAACAUGUAGGAGAAUGUCUUUUUAUGACCCCAGUAUCAUAAGGUCUUAUUUCUUAAUUUAGUAAAUUAUAGUCAUAAGGGAAACUAUUAUUGAAUUGGAUUGCUUUAAAAUUAAGAAUUUAUAAUCAUCAAAGACACCAUAAGGAAAGCAAAAAUUAUCUCACAAAGUAAGAGAAAAUAUUUCCAAUGCAUAUAACCAAAGAAGGAUUAGUAUCCAGAAUGUAUGAGGACCCCCAACAAAUGAAUAAGAGAUACCUUAACAGAAACAUAAGCAAAAACAUAAAUGAUGUUUUGCAGAAGGGAAAUGAUUAAUAUGCUAAAAAUGAAAUUUUAAAAGCAUAAUUUCAUUAUUAAUCAAGUGCAAAUUAAACUACAAUAUGAUUUUGCACCUACUGUUAGGAAAACAAGAAAAAGUCUACAAAUAGCAAUGCUUGGAAAGGUUAUGGAAGAGCAAACACCCACAUCUGUCGGAGGUAGGAGUUUUCAGUUGGCUCUGGCCAAGAGUUUGGCAUUUCUUAGCAACGUUGCACAUGCACAUAACCUACAACCAGAAAUUGUAUUUCUAAAUAUGUACGCUAGAGGAAUUCUUGCACUCAUGCCCAAGAAAAACUUACAAGAAUGGUCACAGAAGCAUUAUUCAUAAGCAAAAACCCUUCAAACUAUCCAAAUAUUCAGCAACAGUAAAGUUGACCAAUUUUAAUAUAUUCUUAUAGUGAAUUAACUAAUAUACAGCAAUAAAAAUUAAAGCUCCAAGGAUUAUGAAUCUCACAACAGUUUUUUUAGCAACAGAAGCAAAUAGUAGAAUGCAUACCUUAUGAUUCUGUUUAUAAAAAGUUCAAAUCAGGCAACGCGCACAACAUACUGUUUUGGAUUAUAUACCUAGAGGAAAACCGUAAGGCAGAGAUAAACAAAGUUUUAGAAUUGAGGUUAUCUUUUGUUUUUGUUUUUUGAUUUUUUUUUCAGUUAAUUUAUUUUGAGAGAGAGAGAGAGAGAGAAGGCAUGAGUGGGGGAGGGGCAGAAAGAGGAGAGAGAUAAUCCCAAGCAGGCUCCGUAUUGUCAGCACAGAGCCUGAUGCGGGCUCGAACUUAGGAACCGUGAGAUCAUGACCUGAGCUGAAGUCAGACAUUCAACCAACUGAGCCACCCAAGUGCCCCUUAAGGUUGCCUUUUGGAGAUAGAGGAAGGAGACAAUACCACUGAGGAGGAGAAUCAGAAGACCUGUUUUAUUUCUUGAGCUGGCUAGUGCGCAGAUCUUUUAUUCAUUUCAUUAUUUUAAAAACUCCUUAUAAAACUAUUUAUAGGUUUUAUGUACUCUUCUGGUUGUGUAAAUUAUGUCACCGUAAAAAAUUUAAAAACAAAUAACCUCUUGUACCUCAUCUCCCUCAAGAUUCUGAUGAGUUUCAGCCCUUGAGAGAUGUGCCCAUUUUACAAAUCCCUAUGUAGCCUUGCCAAAACAGAUUUUGGUUUCUUUCCUUGGUUUAAGAAAACAAUGGGUAUUUUUGUUUUUCAAAUGUAAUAUUAGAUGUUAUACCAUAUCGAAUAUGCCUUAUCUAAUUGUGUAUACCUAUCCUCUAUUUUUUCUCCUCCCACCAACUACCUCCUCCCAUAUCCACCCUCAACCCUUGAGAAUUUCCAUACAGUAGCCAUAUUUGCAGUCAGGGAUUAAUAGUAGAAAAAUUUGCAAAUAUUAACUUUCUGAUCUAACAAUCCCAUCUGUGUCUCCUCAUCCUGUAAACAUUCUAUUUGACAGUACUGUUGAAAUCUAGUUUUCCUCUUUCAUUUUAUAAUUAACUUGCAAUGUAUUAUCUCUAAAUCCACAGUGAGCCUGGGAUAUAAGUAAUUUGCUUCACAAGGUCGUGUUUCUCACAUUCCAGAUAUUAAUACAGGUCUUAACCCUUGAUCAGCUUUAAGAGUAACAACAACACACUAAUACUUAUCACAUCUAUCACAUGUGUUGCAGAACCAUAGUUGGUAAAGAGUAACUAUAGAUAGACUAACCAUAUGAUGGAUUAUCCAAACACUUUUAGGAGUGAAAGGGGGCACUAUUAAGAAUUGUUCUGGGAUGACAGGCAUAAAUUAGAAUAGUCCUAGGCAAAUUGGGAUGUAGGGUCAUCCUAAUCAUAGAGAAAUCUAGCUCAAUGAGUGCACAGAUGAAGACACAUCUGGUUUAGUGCACGUCCCAUUUUAGCAAUUAAAACAUUGUAAACAGAAACUAUCCUGGCUUAAGAAAUGUGCCCUGCCAUCACUGUAGUUCUUAACCAGAACUCUUGGCAGAUGUGUUUGCUAGGCUUCAUUGACACCAAUAAUGGAAUGCUUAUUUAUCAAGAGGGUUUUUCUCAGCAUCCAUGCAAAGUAACAUGUGCCCAACUAAUCUAUUACAGAAAGAUGGUUUUGUAUUUUUUCUUUUUAAAUGGCUGAUUAUUACCUGAAGCAGCAUAAAUAUAGUAACUUGGGUCCUAUUCUAAAUGGGCUUAAAAUCUAGAUAAAUGGUUUAGAUAUAAGACAAGAUGAAUAAAAAUUCUUUCUGGAGAUGAUAUGGAAAGUAUUUUUACAGGUUUAUAAGUAAUAAUAAAAUAAUGAGAAUGAGCCUUUACGGAGUUCAUACUACGUACCAAACACUGAGUUCUAUUCAUAUAGCACAUAAUCUUCUUAACAGUCAUAUUAAAAAGUUACUAUUUCUCUCAUUCAGGUGAGGAAACUGUUAAGGGAUUUGCCUAAAGUUACAUAAAUUGUGGAAUUAAGGAUAUAAUUUCAGGUCUGUCUGAUCAGAAGUCUGUCUACUAUCUAUUAGGCCUACUGAUUGGGGUUUUUCCUUUAUGAUUUAUAUUGCCAAUGUAUCUCUACUGAUACGGAGGUCAGGCUUCCUUUGGACAUUCAUAAGGUGGCUCUUCCAUUUCCACUAUACAACUACUAUUGGAAUGAUCAGGUUGAUUUUAGGAAACAUUUUCCCAUGAUUUGGAAUGAUUUUUAUAUCUGUCACCAAUGACACCUAAAAAUCAAAUGAGGAAACAAACAAAAUAUUUUUAAAAAUCAAAUGGAACUUCUAGGGAAAAUUACAAUAUAUGAGGGAGAGAAAAAAACACUGGGUAGGCUUAACAGAAUAUUAGACACUAUAUAAAAUUAAAAAUUAAUGAAUUUGAAGACAUAGCAAUAGAUACUACCCAAAUCAAAUUUCAAAAGAAAAAAAUCUGAACAUAAACAGACCUUCCAUGACUUGUAUGAAAUAUCAAGGGUGCCUGGGUGGCUCAGUCGUUUGAACAUCCAACUCUUGAUUUCAGCUCAGGUCCUGAUAUCAAAGUCAUGGGAUCAAGCCCUGUGUCAGACUGUGCACAGAGCAUGCAGCUUGCUUAAGAUUCUCUCUUUCUCUCUCCCUCUGCCCCUCUCCCCUGCUCACUCUCUCUUUCUCUUUCUCUCUCUCAUGUAUAAAUAAAUAAAUAAAAUAAAAUAAAAUAAAAUAAAAUAAAAUAAAAUAAAAUAAAAUAAAAAUACAUAUAACUUGAGUUCCUGAGGAAAGUUAGUGGUUGGAGUGUGAGGAGGGAGAAAACAGUAUUUGCAGACUAUAAUAGGUGAAAUUUUCCCAAAUUUGAUGCAAACUGUAAACCUAGUAAUCCAAGAAGUUCAAUAAAUGCCAAGCAAAAUAUAAAUAAGAUCGUAACAGGCAUGUCAUAAUCAGCUUGCUGAAAACCUGUGGUGUAGGGGGAAUUUUAAAGCAGCCAGUGAAAAAGACACAUUCCAUAUAGGAAAGACAAGAUAACUGCUAACUUCUCUGUGGAAACAAUGCAAACCUGAAGACAAUGGAAUGUCACCUUUAAUAUGAUAAUGAAUAAAUCUGUCAGCUGAGAAUUCUAUAUUCAGUGAAAAUAUCCCUCAAAAACAGAGUUAAGGUAAGAUUUUCCUACAAAGAAAGUUCAUAGUUAAUUGUCAGCAGAUCUGCAUGACAAUAAAUAUUUUAAAAGUUCUUCAGGCUGAAAGAAAUAAUUCCAGAUGGAAACUCAGAUCUAUACAAAGGAAUGAAGAGUGCCAGAAAUAAUGAACAUUCAGGUAAAUAUAUAAAAUUUUUCCUUCAAUUUUUUUUCAUUUAAAAGAAAAUUGGAUGUUUGUAGCAAAAAUAACACGUUUUGGUAUUUAUCCAGAUGGACACUCAGAUCUACACAAAGGAAUGAAGAGUGUCAGAAAUAGUAAACAUGUAGGUAAAUAUAUAAAAUGUAUUCCUCAUUUUAUUCAUUUAAAAUGCAAUUGGAAAGGGUUGCCUGGGUGGCUCAGUUGGUUAAGCGUCCAACUCUUGAUUUUAGCUCAGUGCAUGAUCUCAGGGUUCAUGCGAUUAUGAUUCUCUCUCCUUCUCUUUCUACCCCUCCUCUACUCACGUGUACUCUCUCUCUCAAAAUAAAUAAACUUUAAACAAUAAAAUAAAAUUGGAUGUUUGUAGCAAAAAUAACAUGCUUCAGUAUUUAUUACAUAUGUAGAAAUAAAGUAUACAGUAGUACCAAGGAUAGAGGGAGAAUUGAAAUUAUACUGUUGUAAGCUUCUCACAUUACACACAAAGUAAUACUAUAAUAUUUGAAGGUAGGCUGUAAUAUGUUUAAGAUAUAUGUAGUAAACCCCAGAACAAGCACUAAAACAAACAAACAAACAAAUAGGUGUAGAAGGGAAUAUAGGACACAGAAUACUAAGAAAUACUCAACUAAUCCAAAAGAGAAAAAGAACUGAAAUAAAUGAAAAAUAGAACACAAAUAGCAAAAUGGCAGAUUUACAUCCAACCAUACUGAUAAUUAUAUUUAUUGUGACUUUUUUCAGACUGGAUAAAAAAGGCAGAUCUAAAUAAAUACUGUCUAUAAUAUACAAAAUUUUAAUAUAAAGGCACAAUUAGGUUAAAAGUAAAAGGAGGAAAAAGAUAUACCAUGCAAACAUUAAUCAUAUAUAAGCCAGAGUGACUAUAUAAAUGUCAGAGAAAGUAGACUUCAGAACAGAUUGUCAGAAAUAAAGAGGGACACUGAAUAACAAUAAAAGGACAAUAUGUUAGGAAGACAUAACAAUUUUAAAUGUGUAUGCAUCCAAUAACAGAACUUCAAAACACAUAAGCAAACACUGGCAGUUAAAAACAAAAACAAAAAACACAAAACAAACAAAAACCAGAUCUACAAUUAAAAUUUGGAGAUUUCAGUAAUCUCUCAAAAAUUGAGAGGACAAAUGGACAGAACAUUAAUAAGGAUAUAGAAGACAUGAACAACCUUAUCAGCCUAAUUAACAUCUGUAAAACAGCACAUUUAACAAUAACAAUACACAUGAUUUUUUAAGUGGCCAAUAGAAUAUCCACCUAGGUUGAUCACAUGCUUGGCCAUAAAAUAAGUCUCAACAAAUUUCUGAAACUCCAUUCUUAGCAUAUGUAAAAAAGAGUAAAAACACCUACCUCAGCCAGUUGUUGUGCAGACUAGGCUUAGUUAAAAUAUAUCAAUCUUUUGCUGUGAGGUUUGCCACAUAAGUAGAAACUCAAAUGAUUCUAUUUCAUUUCUUUCCCUCUCACAUAUUUUAAAACAUAGUCAUUAAACUUUAUCAGAAACAAGGUAUUUAACCUCACAGGUCAAGCUAUCAACGUUUUAUUUAAUGUUAUUUAGUGUUAAAAUUACAUUUCUAUAAAGCCAUGUAUUCAACUGAAUAUCCCUUAAAUAAAUACAAUCGUUCUUAUAUUAUCAGCAAACUAAACAUCAACAAUUACACUUGCUACUGUGCUUACCUUUGAGUUCCUCUAAAGCUCCUCUGUAUUUUAUUGCUGUAUAAAUAUUUAGAAGACUUUAAAAGGCUAAUUUCAGAUUUGGGCCUUCUCUGUUCAACAGUUUAUAUUUUAAAACCUUUUAUACAGUUCAUAUUCUUAUUUGUGAAACCUAGUGCAGCUCUCAUAUUGAUACUAUUUACAUUUUGGGGGGGGCGUAAUGUGGCAUAGGUUUAUAAAACCUUCCAUUUAAAUUUUUGAUGUGAUUAGCUGCUUUUAAUUACAUCUGAAAAUCCCUUGCCAAAUAAUGAUUACAACAUACAGAAAGGGUAUGGUUGAGACAUAAGCAAAGCAAAACAGAUCUAUGUGAAAACUGCUUCAAGCAGUGUAACAAAAGUAAAACCACUUAAUUUGUACAUAUGUGGAGGAUUUAAUCCAAAUUGAAAUAGAACAAAAGAUAAGUAAAGUGAGAAAGGUAGAUAAGAGAACUUUAAUGUGCACAAGUUCAAAUGCUGUUUUGUUUUUUAAAAUCAGAGCAUAAUUGAUUCUUCUGGGGAAAGUUUUGGAGGAAAAAAUAAAACUCAUAUAUAAUUAUGGUUCACAGCAAAUUGCAUUUACUGCCUAUUGAGCAAACUCAAUUGGUUUGCUAAACCACAGUGUUUCCCACCUCUGUCAGUGAGAGAUCCAACUCUCCCAUCACUGGCUCUCUAAGAGGCAAAUACUUAAGCACAUUUUGGGUCUUCUGUGUGUUAGGUUUUUCAGGCAGUCACUCUCCUCUUUUUCAGUGGAUCCCCAUAGCUUUCAUAUUAAAUUCAAAUUUACAACCUUGGUGGAUCCAGGUUCCUUCUCAACAUUCUCUGGCUUCUCUCCCGGCAUCCUCCACCCACCACACAUACCCAUCACUCUGGCCACACAGCACUCACACUUCCUGGGCAUAUGGUUCUAUGCCUUGUGGGCUCACUCACUCAUUCAUCCUUUCAGUCAUUCCAUCAUUCAUCCCACGAAAUAUCUAUGGGCACUAUGCUUAGUGGUGGGGGUAUAAUAGGAAGACUGAAAGAAACCCUGUCCCUGCUCUCAGGGGGUUACAUCCAAGUGGAGGAAAUAGACACUAAUUGAAGAAUCCCACAGGAACUGUAAAAUGACUGUUCUCAUGGGUGAUGCAGCCCCUGUAAAAUACAGGGACUCCAUGUGGUUGGAAAGUCGGGAAUGCUUCUCUGAGGAAGUGAAUGUGGCCCUAACACAGAAGAAAGAGCAGCAGUUCCCUGGGAGAAGGCAGAGCCCUGUGGGUUAGAAGGAAGGAGAGAAGGCGGAUAUAGCAGGUCCACAGGAGGAAGAAAGCACAGUGAGGCUGGCCUGCUCAAAGGGAGAUAGACCAGGUCCCCUGAAGUCCUGUGAUAUUUAUCCCAUUAGUAAUCCAUUCCAGUGGCUCUGCCUUUCCUCCAGACAUUCCUGUCCUAUCACCUUCAUCUUUUGGGGCUCAGCUGAAGUGUCCCCUUCUCUGGGAAGACUUUGGCACCCCACCAUCUCUGGAGGGUGUAGUGUCCUCCUUUCAGAACUCUGGCCUGUUGACCUGUGCAUCCUCAGCUGCUUUUGCAGGCUCUGCCAUGGAGGAAUGGGUAUGUGAGAAAGCUGGGUUAAGCAUGAUUGGAAGCUUUGUUCGCUGAGCAUGUAGAGAGGCAACUUGGUCGUGUGAAUGCAACUUUCAGGGGGUCUCUAACUUUUCCAGCACGAGUUCAGGGCCUCUUUCCCCCCAGAAGAUCCCUCCCUUUUAAUUCAAACCAACCCCAGCUUGAUGGAAUUUCAGAUGGUAAGGAAACACUGGAUAUGAUGUGGAAGCAUGUGGUUUGUGCAGAAGAACUCAACCAUGACUUACUCCACACUGCGGGUGCCAUCCCGAUUCUCAUCAGCUUUCCCAGCUUGGUGUUCUGAUGAUGAAGAUUAUUAAAAGGAUCCUGGAGAGAGAGGCCGUUCCCUGUUGGGAAUGUUCCAGUGAGCAAGUGGGGAACCGGGAUGGAGAAUCACAGCCACUAAUUGGGGCAUAGAUGGAACAAAUUCCUUCUUAUUGCAGAAAGGUAUUGUAUUUCACAUUGAGGGAAAGGAGAGAUUUGCCUACAAAUUAGGCUGGAAACUGUAGAGAAGAAACUGUUUGCUGGCCAAACUGGUAUGCCAGGACUGUAAUGAAAUAUGACAUAAGGAGAAGGCGGUAGGUGCUCAAAUAAGAAAGUGCGUUUUCUUUAGUAUUUCCUUUACUGUCCUUUUGAAGGCUUGAGUCCCUUCUGUUGCUGUGUUUCUUGGCACCUACCAAAUAUUCUUUUCGGUGAUCAUUAACUCCUUUGCUCAGCAGUUGCUCCCAAGAAGAAGCAUCAAAAACUCUGAGAAAUGUUCAUUACUCAUGGUUCUGCUGAUGCCAUAGAGAAGAGAGUGAAAGCUGCUUUACGUUUAUUUCAGAAUCAUAAUGUGAAUGGAAAGGUUUUUUGAACAUUAUUUUUUGUUUGAAAACAAGGUUAGACACACAGCCCAGAGCCUCUGGUGCCACACCUGCCCAGCACUGAUCCUCCCAGCAAACCCUUAUUCCCACCCUGUAUCUUCUCCAUCCUGCCUGGCAACCCCUCCUCCCCAGAGUCAUUGCUCCCCACCCGUGGGUGCCCCUGUGGCUUGUUCAUUUGUUCUGGCUUGACUUGCCUCUCUGCCUUGCCCUCCCUUUGGAUUUGCCUGUGCCUGGAUUUUCCUGUCUCAGAAUAACCCAUUUGGGCUUAGGGGUUGGGCUUCAGAACUACCACUGCCCAUCAUCCCCGGACUCUUGGCCACAGUACUUCCUCUCCCAUCAGUCCCAGUCAGUCCAUGACAGUAAAUGAAAAUAAUUACCUAAGGUCCUUUGUGUGUUGGCUUUAACAUAUACAACUUAUAAAAAAUCUACACUUCUACACCCAAGGUAUUCUUUAUGGAAACACACACAUACACAGUGGAAAUACAGACAGAUGUUAAAAGUAUUGAACGGAUUUGUGGUUUAUUUGGGGGUGAAUUUGAAUGAAGGGAAUGCCUAAAGUCUGUUAAGACUUUGUUUUCCUUUGACCAUUAAGGAAGAAUUUCUUUGGUUUGUGACAAGGGAGCACUGAAACCUUUCAAGUGGGUGAGUGGUGGGCAUUCUAACCCCUUCUAAAGCACUUGCAUGACCCAAUCAGGUGAUUCAAAGUUGGAUUAAUCUAACCAAACAAGAGCAGUGAAUUAAGACAUUUUGCAUGGGGGAUAUCCCUUGCCUGAAUCCUUAAUCCCUGAAAGAGCCACUGGCAUGGUGCUCAGUGAAGCAUUCAUUGUCUUUACAGGGAAUUUUUUUCUCUUCAUCUGUUACUUCUGAUUCAGUUGAACUGGUUUUAUUUUUCUUAAGGCAAAGUACAAAUACAGUCACUGAUUUCACUAGAAAACAGUUUUAUAUAGUUUUUUUUUAAAGCUUAAAGAAAAGACUUGGAAAAAACUUUUAAAAAUUGAUUUUCUUUAUAGAAAACUGCUAGAUCUAUUUUAGGGGACUGCAUUUUGGGACUAUUUCUCAGGAAAAAUUGUAGUAAUCAGCAGACAGAUUUUGAAAGCUGGGGACUCAUGAACAAUAUGAACACUUGUUUUGCAUUUGAAGUUGGUAAAGUUAACUUUCUUUUUUUCAGGCUUGAAAAAUAUUGGGAUAGGGAUUAAGAGAGGAACCCUUUAUCAGAUAUGUGAAAAUAUAGACCAUAUUUCUGCAGUGUGGCAUUACAAGGAGAUCGAAGGUCGGAGACACUGACUGCUAAUGGAAGAACUACUACUUGAAAAGCACUAUCCGUCCAUUUUCUCAUCAGAUCCUCAACAACUCUACAAGGUAAAGCUGUCUGCAAUUGAAUGUUAAGUUGAUGGUUCAAAGGCAGCACCAGAAGAUGAGGCAUAUUCCUGAGAGCUGGAACCCUGGGCUCCAUAAAAUUUCAGUUUCCCACCAUCAACUGCGGUCCCAGAAGCAGAUGAUCCUCCUUCUGAUGAAUCAUCAGACAGUCAGUAGUCACCGAACUUAUGCCACGAUACCUACAUCAUCCGCCCAGCUUCACCUCAUCUCGUAGGCAUUUUAUCAGCUUACGUCAUGGCAAGAAGGGUGAGUACAGUACUAUAAGACAUAUUGAGAGGGAGAGAAGCAGCAUUUUCACAUAACCUUUAUUAUAGCAUAUUGUUAUAACUGUUCUAUCUUAUUAGUUAUUGCUGUUCAUCUCGUACUGUGCCAAAUUCAUAAAUGUAACUCAUCAAAGGUCUGUAUGUAUAGGAAAAAGCAGUAUACAUAGGGCUCAUCACUAUCCAUGGGUUCAGGCACCCACUAGGGGUUUGGAACAUAUCCACCUCAGAUGAGGGGACAAUUGAAAUGCAAAUAGAUUUGUUUUUGUAACUUCUAAAGUUUAUCUGCAAGCAUAGGUGCACAUGAAUAACAAAAACAUAUGUAAAAGGAAGAAAUUGGAGGGGAACCUUACAGUGAAAGGUAGUAAAUUGUAACAUAAAGUUGCAUUCAAAUAAACAUGCAGAACCUGAAACAGAAUAGAUGGAAUAACUAAAUGGACCCCCAAAGCAAGGAUAUGUCUAUUUUCUGUACCUGGGGGAAAAAACCGAGCAUUUAAAAAUAAUGUGAAUGAAGGAUUAUCCAAUAAAUGAUGCUAGAAUAAUUUUUACUUAAAAAAGCAAGUUAAUCCUUUACCUCUCACCAUACACUGAAAGAAAUCCCAGGAAGAUCAAAAAUCAAAAAGAUAAGCAUACCAUAAAAGCACCAGAGGAAACGUUAGUUAACUAUUCAUGUAAUCUGGGUAUGUGGUGGGUCUUUUCAGGCAUUACCCUAAGACAGAAACCAUGAAAAAUGUUUAGAUAUGGAACUACAUGAAUAUAAAAUUAUGCAUAAAAAGUUAUCAUAAACAAAAUGAAAAGCAAAUAGUAAAACUGAGAAAAAUAUUUAUAACAUAUCAGACAAAUAGGAAAUUACUAUCUUCAAUAUGUAAAGAAUCAUCACAAGUUUAUAAGAAAAAAAGAAACACUAUAAUAGAAAUAAAGGGGCAAAGGCUAUUAAUAGGCAGUUCACAGUGAAGGAAUAGAAAUGGCAAUACAAAUAUGAAAAUGUAUUUAAUAUUCCUUAUAAUCAAAGAAGUGCAAAUUUAAAUAAGUUACCCUAAGGAAUAAGAUAUUUUUUUACUUUAUAAAUGUCUAUAUUCCUGAAUAAAUUUAAAGAAGGGCAUUCAACUAAAAUAACAAGAAUAAAGCAUGUUACUGUGAAAUCUGUGUAAAUCUGUAAAGCACUUACCAUCUUUUUGAUGGUAAGGCAGCCUAGGAUUUUUCUAUCUUGUGCCUUGAGAGUGACCUAUAGGAGUAUAUUUAUUGGAAAAAUUAUCUGCCAAUAAAUACACCGUUAAGAGAAAAAAGUAGCCAAUAGAUCAGAAUGUGUGAUAAGACAUUUCACAUUUUGGCAAAAAUAUAUGUAGAAAUAUAAAAAACCAUGUAGAAGAAAAUCUUAAUACAUAUAAAAUAAAAUGUUGACAGGUGUUGUCUCUAGGUAUUAGAAAUAUGGGUAGUGAAAAUUUUUUAAAUUUAAAUGUAAACAUUUUUCUUACUUGUGCUUGUCUAUUUCCUAAUUUUUCGGCCAUGGGUUUGUAUUGCCCUUUA